ACACUCCUACGGGAGGCAGCAGUGGGGAAUAUUGGACAAUGGGCGAAAGCCUGAUCCAGCAAUGCCGCGUGAGUGAUGAAGGCCUUAGGGUUGUAAAGCUCUUUUACCCGGGAUGAUAAUGACAGUACCGGGAGAAUAAGCCCCGGCUAACUCCGUGCCAGCAGCCGCGGUAAUACGGAGGGGGCUAGCGUUGUUCGGAAUUACUGGGCGUAAAGCGCGCGUAGGCGGCUUUGUAAGUUAGAGGUGAAAGCCCGGAGCUCAACUUCGGAAUUGCCUUUAAGACUGCAUCGCUAGAAUCGUGGAGAGGUGAGUGGAAUUCCGAGUGUAGAGGUGAAAUUCGUAGAUAUUCGGAAGAACACCAGUGGCGAAGGCGACUCACUGGACACGUAUUGACGCUGAGGUGCGAAAGCGUGGGGAGCAAACAGGAUUAGAAACCCUGGUAGUCCCAUGA
rnacentral:rRNA from 1 species